AUGGCGGAGGGCGAGUCCCUGGACGCCUUCGAUGGAAGGCUUGGAGGCAUGGCGGCGCGCUACGCGGCGCUCCGCUCGACCCUGGAAGAUGCAGCGCUCGUGAAGAAGCUGCUCGACUCAGUGCCGGACCGCCUGUACGCGGUGGUGGCCGGGAUCGAGCAGUUCCGCGACGUGUCGAUGAUGGCGUUCGAGCAGGCAUUGGGGCGGCUGAAGGCCUUCGACGAGCGGCUGCGGCGAUGCGGGCAGGCGGGCGGUGAGCGCGCUGACGGGCAACUCAUGUAUACGGCGGAGCAGUGGAGGGCUCGGGAGCGGCGU
rnacentral:rRNA from 1 species